GUGUUCUUGCUUCAGCAGCACAUAUACUAAAAUUGUAAAUGAUAGAUUUGCGUGGCCCCUACGCAAGGAUGACACACAAAUUCAUGAAGCUUUCCAUAUUUUU